rnacentral:rRNA from 1 species
GCUUGUCUCAAAGAUUAAGCCAUGCAUGUCUAAGUACAAGCCUCAGUAAGGUGAAACCGCGAAUGGCUCAUUAAAUCACACCUAAUCUACUGGAAAGUUACUAGUUACUUGGAUAACUGAGGUAAUUCUUGAGCUAAUACAUGCGAAAAAUCUCGACUCACGGAGAGAUGCUUUUAUUAGAUCAAAACCAACCGAGCUUGCUCGUCUCUUGGUGAAUCAUGAUAACUUCACGAAUCGCAUGGCCUCGCGCCGGCGAUAUUUCAUUCAAAUUUCUGCCCUAUCAAUUGGCGAUGGUAGGAUAGAGGCCUACCAUGGUGUUAACGGGUGACGGGGGAUUAGGGUUCGAUUCCGGAGAGGCAGCCUGAGAAACGGCUACCACAUCCAAGGAAGGCAGCAGG